rnacentral:rRNA from 1 species
AACGAACGCUGGCGGCGGGCUUAACACAUGCAAGUCGAGCGCCCCGCAAGGGGAGCGGCAGACGGGUGAGUAACGCGUGGGAAUCUACCCAUCUCUACGGAAUAACGCAUGGAAACGUGUGCUAAUACCGUAUACGUCCUUCGGGAGAAAGAUUUAUCGGAGAUGGAUGAGCCCGCGUUGGAUUAGCUAGUUGGUGGGGUAAAGGCCUACCAAGUCGACGAUCCAUAGCUGGUCUGAGAGGAUGAUCAGCCACACUGGGACUGAGACACGGCCCAGAGUCCUACGGGAGGCAGCAGUGGGGAAUAUUGGACAAUGGGCGCAAGCCUGAUCCAGCCAUGCCGCGUGAGUGAUGAAGGCCCUAGGGUUGUAAAGCUCUUUCACCGGUGAAGAUAAUGACGGUAACCGGAGAAGAAGCCCCGGCUAACUUCGUGCCAGCCGCCGCGGUAAAAC